UACGUAGGGUGCAAGCGUUAAUCGGAAUUACUGGGCGUAAAGCGUGCGCAGGCGGUUGUGCAAGACAGAUGUGAAAUCCCCGGGCUCAACCUGGGAACUGCAUUUGUGACUGUACGGCUGGAGUGCGGCAGAGGGGGAUGGAAUUCCGGCGUGUAGCAGUGAAAUGCGUAGAUAUGCGGAGGAACACCGAUGGCGAAGGCAAUCCCCCUGGGCCUGCACUGACGCUCAUGCACGAAAGCGUGGGGAGCAACAGG
rnacentral:rRNA from 1 species